rnacentral:lncRNA from 1 species
GCAGUGGAAAUAAAUCCGAACAGUAUCCAUGUGGAUGCAGGUUCAGCCCUGGACUCUCUCAGUGGCCUGGGGACUCAGCAUUGUAAUGAGCUGUGGUGUAAGUCACAGAUGUGGCUUGGAUCCCACAUUGCUUUGGCUGUGGCAUAGGCUCUGAUUUCAUCCUCUACCCUGGAAACUUUCAUAUGCUGUGGUUGCAGCCCUAAAAAGCAAAAAAAUAAAUAAAUAAAAAUGAUAACUAUAUUUAUGAACUGUCAUGUAACAGUAGGUCUCAAUUUCUUUUUUGCUCAACAAUGACUACUGUUUCCACACCCUAUGAUUGGAACUUUACUCAUUUACAGCUCACAGAGUUGUCACUGUCCCAGAAGUCCCACUCUCCAGUAACUCUAUAUUCAUUCUGAAAAAGGAGAGAAAGGGACAGGACAAAGCUGCUAGAUAAAUGAAGAAAGGGUGCAGCUGUUAAGAUGCAAUAAAAAUCAGCUGGAACCAGCUGAAACCAAGGUGGUUUCAUGAACUGUCUGGUCAUUGACCUUUAGUUCAUUAUACCUUCAUUGGAAUAGUAAAAAUCAUUCCACCUUAUGUCAUGACAGUUCUGAGGUGGACCAUAAAAUGCCAAAAAGUGGACAGUGAUCCAAUUCCUGAGAAAUCCCUUCCUGAAAUAGCAAGAAUAUUCCUCUCAUUAUUGUAUGAAAUUACUCAGUCCAUAAAAACCAACAACCUCAUGACCUAGGGCUGCUCUCACGUUAUUAGAUGGUCCACAUUCUGACUAUGGAGUGUAUAUCUCUCUAUAUAAACUCACCUUUGAAAAUUGCCUCCUAUUUUUCUAGAUAGACAAAUUUCAGACAACCAAAUGCUGAGCAAUCUUCAAACAAAUGGACAGGAAACUUUCAAAAAGAUAUCCUACUCCAGAAGACAAAGAGGAGGCCACAUCAAGAGGUAGGAGGGGCAAUUACAUGAUAUAAGCAACCCCAUGCCUCCUGGGUGGGAAGCCCCACAGACUUGAAAGUAACUGGUUCACAGAGACUCACCUACAGGAGUAAGAGUUCUGAGCCCCACAUCAAACUCCCAUGUGUGGGGAUCUGGCACUGGGAGAAAGGGCCCUCAGAGCAUCUGGUAUUGAAGGCCAGUGGGGCUUGUGCACAGGAGUUCCACAGGACUGGGGGACACAGAGACCCCAUUCUUAAAAGGCACACACAGACUUUCACAUGCACUGGGUUCCAGGGCAAAGCAAAGUCUCCAUAGGAAUCUGGGUCAAACCUGACUGCAGUUCUUGGAGGACAUGCUGGGAAAACAGGGGGAAAUGUGGCUUGUUGUGGGGGAAGGACAUUGGAAGCAAAGCUCUUGGGAAUAUUCAGGAGCAUGCCUUUCUCCGGAGGUGGCCAUUUUGGGAAAAUCUGGCCCCACCCAUCAGUCAGGGCUGAGAAGCCCCAGGCCAAACAACAAUCCAGGUUGGAUCACACCCCCACACAUCAGUAAACAGGCUGCCUAGAGAUCCCCCAUGCACACAGCCACCUCUAAUCUCACCUAGAGACAAAGCCCCACAUACCACAGGGAUAGGAAUGAGCUCUACCUACCAGUGGGUACGCACCAGUCCCUCCAAUCAGGAGGCCUAUAGCAAGCCCCCAUACUAACUUAGUCACAAGGGGGGCAGACACCAGAAGUAAGGGAGGCUACAACUCCAUUAUCUGUAAAAAGGUCACCACACCAAAAACCUAUAAAAAUGAAAAGACAGAGAACUAUAAUUCAGAUGAGGGAGAAAGAAAAAAAAAAACAGAAAAUCAGCUAAGUGAUCAGGAGAUUCUCAGCCUCUAGGAAGAAGACUUUAGACUACUGAUGCUGAAGAUGAUGAAAGACAUUGGAAAUAAACUGGAGGCAAAAAUGGAUAACUUACAGGAAAUACUGAGCAAAGAAAUACAAGAUAUAUAACUUAAGAAGAGAUGCAAAAUACAAUAACUGAAAUAAAAAAUUCAUUAGAAGCAGCCAACAGCAGAAUACAGGAGGCAGAACUAAUAAGGGUGAUGGAGGACAGAUUAAUGGAAAUUAUGGAUGCAGAACAGAAAAGAGAAAAAAGAUUG